GACGAACGCUGGCGGCGUGCUUAACACAUGCAAGUCGAACGGAAAGGCCCUGCUUGCAGGGUGCUCGAGUGGCGAACGGGUGAGUAACACGUGGGUGAUCUGCCCCUUACUUUGGGAUAAGCCUGGGAAACUGGGUCUAAUACUGGAUAGGACCAUGCUGUAGGUGGUGUGGUGGAAAGAUUAGUUUCGGUAAGGGAUGAGCUCGCGGCCUAUCAGCUUGUUGGUGGGGUAAUGGCCUACCAAGGCGUCGACGGGUAGCCGGCCUGAGAGGGUGGACGGCCACAUUGGGACUGAGAUACGGCCCAGACUCCUACGGGAGGCAGCAGUGGGGAAUAUUGCACAAUGGGCGCAAGCCUGAUGCAGCGACGCCGCGUGGGGGAUGAUGGCCUUCGGGUUGUAAACUCCUUUCAGCCAUGACGAAGCCCUUGUGGUGACGGUAGUGGUAGAAGAAGCACCGGCUAACUACGUG
rnacentral:rRNA from 1 species